rnacentral:rRNA from 1 species
UUACAACAGCCAUAGUUUAUUAGAUUUUCUCUCAUACUUGGAUACCUGUGGUAAUUCUAGAGCUAAUACACGCAAACAAACUCCAACCUCAUGGAUGGAGUGCAUUUAUUAGAACAAAACCAAUCGGGCUUGCCCGUAGUUUGGUGAAUCUGAAUAACUCAGCUGAUCGCACAGUCUUUGCACUGGUGAUGCAUCUUUCAAGUGUCUGCCUUAUCAACUGUCGAUGGUAGUUUACAUGACUACCAUGGUUGUAACGGGUAACGGAGAAUAAGGGUUUGACUCCGGAGAGGGAGCCUGAGAAAUGGCUACCACAUCCAAGGAAGGCAGCAGGCGCGCAAAUUACCCACUCUCAGUACGAGGAGGUAGUGACGAAAAAUAACGAGACAGUUCUCUAUGAGGUCUGUCAUCGGAAUGGGUACAAUUUAAACCCUUUAACGAGGAUCUAUUGGAGGGCAAGUCUGGUGCCAGCAGCCGCGGUAAUUCCAGCUCCAAUAGCGUAUAUUAAAGUUGUUGCGGUUAAAAAGCUCGUAGUUGGAUCUGCGGCCUCGCGUGCUGGUGUUCCCGCAGGGUUCUACUGGUUAUGCAGGCCUACCUCGCUGGUUUUCCCUUGGUCCUCUUCAUUGAGUGCCCUGGGUGACCAGCAGUUUUACUUUGAAAAAAUUAGAGUGCUCAAAGCAGGCGCGUAGCCUGAAUAGUGGUGCAUGGAAUAAUGGAAUAGGACCUUGGUUCUAUUUUGUUGGUUUUCGGAGCUUGAGGUAAUGAUUAAGAGGGACAGACGGGGGCAUUUGUAUUGCUGCGUUAGAGG